rnacentral:rRNA from 1 species
GACGUAGGAUGCGAGCGUUGUCCGGAUUUAUUGGGCGUAAAGAGUUCGUAGGCGGCCUAUCAAGUCUGGUGUUAAAGACCGGGGCUCAACUCCGGGAAGGCAUUGGAUACUGAUAAGCUAGAGUGCAGAAGAGGCAAGGGGAAUUCCCAGUGUAGCGGUGAAAUGCGUAGAUAUUGGGAGGAACACCGGUGGCGUAAGCGCCUUGCUGGGCUGUUACUGACGCUGAGGAACGAAAGCCAGGGGAG